rnacentral:rRNA from 1 species
CUUGGUCUGGGACAACUGUUGGAAACGACAGCUAAUACCGGAUAUUAUGAGAUUCUCGCAUGGGAAACUUAUGAAAGCUAUAUGCGCCAAGAGAGAGCCUUGCGUUCCAUUAGCUAGUUGGUGGGGUAACGGCCCACCAAGGCGACGAUGGAUAGCCGGCCUGAGAGGGUGAACGGCCACAAGGGGACUGAGACACGGCCCUUACUCCUACGGGAGGCAGCAGUGGGGAAUAUUGGACAAUGGGCCACAAGCCUGAUCCAGCAAUUCUGUGUGCACGAUGAAGGUCUUCGGAUUGUAAAGUGCUUUCAGUUGGGAAGAAGAAAGUGACGGUACCAACAGAAGAAGCGACGGCUAAAUACGUGCCAGCAGCCGCGGUAAUACGUAUGUCGCAAGCGUUAUCCGGAUUUAUUGGGCGUAAAGCGCGUCUAGGCGGAAAAAUAAGUCUGAUGUUAAAAUGCGGGGCUCAACUCCGUAUUGCGUUGGAAACUGUUUUUCUAGAGUACUGGAGAGGUGGGCGGAACUAC